AGCGUACACGGUGGAUGCCUUGGCAGUUGGAGGCGAUGAAGGACGUAUUAACUUGCGAUAAGCCUAGUCAAGCUAGUAAAAAGCACUUGAGACUAGGAUUUCCGAAUGGGGAAACCCACCUGCUUGCAGGUAUCGUUAACUGAAUACAUAGGUUAACGAGGCGAACGCGGAGAACUGAAACAUCUAAGUACCCGUAGGAAAAGAAAUCAACCGAGAUUCCGAAAGUAGCGGCGAGCGAAAUCGGAACAGCCCUUAAGCUUAUUAUGUGUUAAUGGAAGGCUCUGGAAAGUGCCACGAUACAGGGUGAUAGUCCCGUACAUGAAAAGACAUUUUAAGUGAAAUCGAGUAGGUCGGAGCACGUGAAACUUUGACUGAAUAUAGGUGGACCAUCAUCUAAGGCUAAAUACUCCCGACUGACCGAUAGUGAACCAGUACCGUGAGGGAAAGGCGAAAAGAACCCCUGUGAGGGGAGUGAAAUAGAACCUGAAACCGUGUACGUACAAGCAGUAGGAGCAGACUUGUUCUGUGACUGCGUACCUUUUGUAUAAUGGGUCAGCGACUUAUAUUCAGUAGCAAGGUUAACCGUUUAGGGGAGCCGUAGGGAAACCGAGUCUUAACUGGGCGAAUAGUUGCAAGGUAUAGACCCGAAACCCGGUGAUCUAGCCAUGGGCAGGUUGAAGGUUGAGUAACAUCAACUGGAGGACCGAACCCACUAACGUUGAAAAGUUAGGGGAUGACCUGUGGCUAGGAGUGAAAGGCUAAUCAAACCCGGAGAUAGCUGGUUCUCCCCGAAAGCUAUUUAGGUAGCGCCUCGGACGAAUACCACAGGGGGUAGAGCACUGUUUCGGCUAGGGGGUCAUCCCGACUUACCAACCCGAUGCAAACUCCGAAUACCUGUGAGUACUAUCCGGGAGACACACGGUGGGUGCUAACGUCCAUCGUGAAGAGGGAAACAACCCAGACCGCCAGCUAAGGUCCCAAAGUCAUAGUUAAGUGGGAAACGAUGUGGAAAGGCCCAGACAGCCAGGAGGUUGGCUUAGAAGCAGCCA
rnacentral:rRNA from 1 species